rnacentral:piRNA from 1 species
UGACAACAUUCCGAUGGCAGUUGGGAGA